AGAGUUUGAUCCUGGCUCAGGAUGAACGCUAGCGGCAGGCCUAACACAUGCAAGUCGAGGGGUAGCAGGAUUAAGCUUGCUUAAUUGCUGACGACCGGCGCACGGGUGCGUAACGCGUAUGCAACCUACCUUAUACUGGGGUAUAGCCCGGAGAAAUUCGGAUUAAUCCCCCAUAGUACUAUUUAACCGCAUGGUUGAAUAGUUAAAGUAUUGCGGUAUAAGAUGGGCAUGCGUCCUAUUAGCUAGAUGGUGAGGUAACGGCUCACCAUGGCUACGAUAGGUAGGGGGCCUGAGAGGGUGGUCCCCCACACUGGUACUGAGACACGGACCAGACUCCUACGGGAGGCAGCAGUGAGGAAUAUUGGUCAAUGGGCGCAAGCCUGAACCAGCCAUGCCGCGUGCAGGAAGAAUGCCCUAUGGGUUGUAAACUGCUUUUAUUUGGGAAUAAACCUCUUUACGUGUAGAGAGCUGAAGGUACCAAAUGAAUAAGCACCGGCUAACUCCGUGCCAGCAGCCGCGGUAAUACGGAGGGUGCAAGCGUUAUCCGGAAUCAUUGGGUUUAAAGGGUCCGCAGGCGGAUUUAUAAGUCAGUGGUGAAAUCCUAUCGCUUAACGAUAGAACUGCCAUUGAUACUGUAAGUCUUGAAUUCGGUCGGAGUGGGCGGAAUGUGUAGUGUAGCGGUGAAAUGCAUAGAUAUUACACAGAACACCGAUAGCGAAGGCAGCUCACUAGGCCUGAAUUGACGCUCAGGGACGAAAGCGUGGGGAUCAAACAGGAUUAGAUACCCUGGUAGUCCACGCUGUAAACGAUGAUUACUCGUUUUCGGCGAUAUACAGUCGGAGACUAAGCGAAAGUGAUAAGUAAUCCACCUGGGGAGUACGAUCGCAAGGUUGAAACUCAAAGGAAUUGACGGGGGCCCGCACAAGCGGAGGAGCAUGUGGUUUAAUUCGAUGAUACGCGAGGAACCUUACCCGGGCUUGAAAGUUAGUGAAUGAUUUAGAAAUAGAUCAGUGAGCAAUCACACGAAACUAGGUGCUGCAUGGCUGUCGUCAGCUCGUGCCGUGAGGUGUUGGGUUAAGUCCCGCAACGAGCGCAACCCCUAUGUUUAGUUGCCAGCACGUUAAGGUGGGGACUCUAAACAGACUGCCUACGCAAGUAGAGAGGAAGGAGGGGACGACGUCAAGUCAUCAUGGCCCUUACGUCCGGGGCUACACACGUGCUACAAUGGUUGGUACAGAGGGCUGCAAGCUGGUAACAGUAAGCUAAUCUCCAAAAGCCAAUCACAGUUCGGAUUGAGGUCUGCAACUCGACCUCAUGAAGUUGGAUUCGCUAGUAAUCGCAUAUCAGCAAUGAUGCGUUGAAUACGUUCCCGGGCCUUGUACACACCGCCCGUCAAGCCAUGAAAGCUGGGGGAACCUGAAGUCUGUCACCGCAAGGAGCGGCCUAGGGUAAAACCGGUAAUUGGGGCUAAGUCGUAACAAGGUA
rnacentral:rRNA from 1 species